UACGGAGGGUGCAAACGUUGCUCGGAAUCAUUGGGCGUAAAGCGCACGUAGGCGGCGAAGUAAGUUGGGUGUGAAAGCCCCGGGCUCAACCCGGGAAGUGCAUUCAAAACUGUUUCGCUUGAAUCUCGGAGGGGGUCAGAGAAUUCCCGGUGUAGAGGUGAAAUUCGUAGAUAUCGGGAGGAAUACCAGUGGCGAAGGCGCUGACCUGGACGAAGAUUGACGCUGAGGUGCGAAAGCGCGGGGAGCAAACAGG
rnacentral:rRNA from 1 species